UCAUGAUCAUCAAAGUCAAUACCAUAAUCCCAAGUCAGUUCUUCCAAUGCGCUCACUUCUCUUGUUGUAAAAAAUGCAAGAUGGUAAUAGUGCCGAUCAGGAGUCUCUACUUCUACUGGAAUAUCAAUCAAAUUUGCCUCACCACAUCUAUGAUUAAUAAACCUUGCAACAUUUCCACUAAAAGUUGCAUCCAAACACAGUGCUUCUUCAUCCCUUAGAAUUCUUUCUGAACCCCAGUCUGCAUCAAGUGUAACUGGAUAUGUAUGUCUCUCAUUGCCACUAUUUUCAUUCCGCUCAUAUAAUUCCAUGUUGGUCAGUAUUUCCCCAACAUAUUCACAAACAAAGGCCCCUUCCGGCAAGUUCUCAAGUGUUCUAAGGCCCCAGCCUUUACCUUCCCGAGUCAAAAAUACCUGCAAUCUGCAUGUGAUACCCCGUUGUACCACUCGAUUUCCACAGUUCAUGUCACACCCACAUUUUCUCCAACAUUCUUUAAUAAACUUUCUAACCAAGUGACCCUUGCAUUGUUCAGGCAUAUCCUCAUUCUUGGAUCUCUCCAAUGGACAAUCUUGACAAAAAACAUAAUGGUGCUUUUGAGGGUCUAGCUUCAUAGAAACAC
rnacentral:misc_RNA from 1 species